rnacentral:rRNA from 1 species
UACUCCUACGGGAGGCAGCAGUGGGGACUCCUACGGGAGGCAGCAGUGGGGAAUAUUGGACAAUGGGCGCAAGCCUGAUCCAGCCAUGCCGCGUGAGUGAUGAAGGCCUUAGGGUUGUAAAGCUCUUUUAUCCGGGACGAUAAUGACGUACCGAG